rnacentral:rRNA from 1 species
CACGUAGGAGGCGAGCGUUGUCCGGAAUCAUUGGGCGUAAAGAGCGCGCAGGCGGCUUGGCAAGUCGGGUGUGAAAUCCCGGGGCUCAACCCCGGGACUGCAUUCGAUACUGUCAGGCUAGAGGUAGGUAGGGGAGAUCGGAAUUCCUGGUGUAGCGGUGAAAUGCGCAGAUAUCAGGAGGAACACCGGUGGCGAAGGCGGCAUCCUGGACCGACACUGACGCUGAGGCGCGAAAGCCAGGGGAGCAAACGGG